CGAUGGUUCCCAUGGGGACUUGAGGGAAUUCGGUGCGGAUCGUCAAAUUUGGCCCCGUUUAAGGGCCCGUCCAAAGCCGAAGCUGCCCCCGCAACUGUAAGCGGAUCGCCACGUUCCGGGUACGUCACUGGGCAACCGGGAAGACAGGAACGGCGGAAAAUCGCGAGCCAGGAAACCUGCCAUCGACU
rnacentral:ncRNA from 1 species